UUAAAUUGAAGAGUUUGAUCAUGGCUCAGAUUGAACGCUGGCGGCAGGCCUAACACAUGCAAGUCGAACGGUAACAGGAAGCAGCUUGCUGUUUCGCUGACGAGUGGCGGACGGGUGAG
rnacentral:rRNA from 1 species